rnacentral:rRNA from 1 species
AGAGUUUGAUCCUGGCUCAGGAUGAACGCUAGCGGCAGGCCUAACACAUGCAAGUCGAGGGAGAAGUAUUUUCGGAUACAGAAACCGGCGCACGGGUGCGUAACGCGUAUAUAAUCUACCUUAUACAGAGGGAUAGCCCGAAGAAAUUUGGAUUAAUACCUCAUAGUAUUAUUGAUUGGCAUCGAUUAAUAAUUAAAGCUGAGGCGGUAUAAGAUGAGUAUGCGUCCUAUUAGCUAGUUGGUAUGGUAACGGCAUACCAAGGCUACGAUAGGUAGGGGUCCUGAGAGGGAGAUCCCCCACACUGGUACUGAGACACGGACCAGACUCCUACGGGAGGCAGCAGUGAGGAAUAUUGGUCAAUGGUCGGAAGACUGAACCAGCCAUGCCGCGUGCAGGAAGACGGCCUUAUGGGUUGUAAACUGCUUUUGUAAGGGAAGAAUAAGUCGUAUGUAUACGGCGAUGACGGUACUUUACGAAUAAGCAUCGGCUAACUCCGUGCCAGCAGCCGCGGUAAUACGGAGGAUGCGAGCGUUAUCCGGAAUCAUUGGGUUUAAAGGGUCUGUAGGCGGGUUAUUAAGUCAAGGGUGAAAGUUUGUUGCUUAACGAUAAAAUUGCCUUUGAUACUGGUAGUCUUGAAUUUUUGUGAAGUUGCUGGAAUGUGUAGUGUAGCGGUGAAAUGCAUAGAUAUUACACAGAACACCGAUUGCGAAGGCAUGUGACUAACAAAGGAUUGACGCUGAGAGACGAAAGCGUGGGGAGCGAACAGGAUUAGAUACCCUGGUAGUCCACGCUGUAAACGAUGGAUACUAGCUG